rnacentral:rRNA from 1 species
AAUCAACGCUGGCGGCGUGCCUCAGACAUGCAAGUCGAACGAUUAAAGCUCUCUUCGGAGAGUGCAUAGAGUGGCGCACGGGUGAGUAACACGUAAGUAAUCUACCUUCGAGUGGGGAAUAACGUCCGGAAACGGACGCUAAUACCGCAUAAUGCAGCGGCAUCGCAAGAUGACAGUUGUUAAAGAUUUAUCGCUUGAAGAGGAGCUUGCGGCAGAUUAGCUAGUUGGUAAGGUAAUGGCUUACCAAGGCUACGAUCUGUAACCGGUCUAAGAGGACGGUCGGUCACACUGACACUGAAUAACGGGUCAGACUCCUACGGGAGGCAGCAGUCGGGAAUUUUGGGCAAUGGGCGAAAGCCUGACCCAGCAACGCCGCGUGAAGGAUGAAGUAUUUCGGUAUGUAAACUUCGAAGAAUAGGAAGAAUAAAUGACGGUACUAUUUAUAAGGU